CGUUACAAAACAAUUAUGACUCAUUCCUCCCCGCAUAUUUACAGUUUUAACUCCUUCUCCCUUCAAUUUUCAAGCGUUACACAAUCAAAGAUCCCAUUACCAGCACCAUAGUUUCUUCUAAUCAGUUUCCCGUCAUACGUUACAAAUAAAAAAGAUCCCCAUUAACAAUUCCAUUAAGUCUGCUAAUCAAUCCCUGAAGCUCCCAUUACAUAAACCUCAAAAGUCAAAAGUGGAAAGAGGUUAUCUUUCAAAGAUUUUUGCUGGACAUAUUGGAAAUACCGUCUUUUGCAAAUAUUAGAUGAUUUUUGAGAAAAGAACCGGCAUCCAUCUCAGUUACUGGGUGGUCGGAUGGCCUUUAUGUUUCUCUAACAAUAGCCGGGAGCAGGCUUGGGGGUUCGAGUAAAGGGACUCAGGCAGCAGUAAUGAAUCUAGGCAAAAAAGUGUUCAAGUACCGUCUUCAACACAGUCAGCUUGCUCUCAAGUAAGUCUUUUUGUCUCUCUUUGUGUGUGUAUGUUGCUAUGGAAUUUUAUAUAUCUUGAAUAAGAUCUGAACUCGAUCAUAUAUUAGGUGCUUUAAAAUGUGUUCUUUAAGGUUUUCUUUUGUACUGACACUUUUAUUUUGCAUUCAUUGAUGAUCAUGUAUGUAAAAGGUGCACGAUAUCUUCCACAUAUUACAUUUCGUCUAACCCCAUAACUACUGCUAUAUUUUUACCAAUGUUUUUAUGAUUAAGGCCUGGGAAAUGUGCAUGUUUCCCUAACCAUAUUCAGGUCCCUUUCCUUCUGGGUAGCCUUUUAAUCUCAUUCAUGUAAUCUCGGUUGUUUCAUUUAGCAGUGGUGUGCUGACAUAUUUACAUUGUAGUUCAGGAAUGUUAAUAUUUUCUAUCCGUUUCUGUUGGAACUAAGCUCUCUAGUUUUCAAUGCUCUCCAGACUGUUACAAGUUACCAUGCAAUUGAAAUUUACUUGAUGGAGGUGUACUCAUUGGGUGUUCAACAUGAGUAGAAAACUCUGAAAAUUCUCAUAGCCAAGCUCAGCCUAUAUGGCUUGUGUACCUAAAAGAUAAUUUCUUUAUACCCUGUACUUUCACCCCAAGCCUUACUCCAGGACAGUUAAAAUGAGUUUGCAAUGCGCCACCAAUUUUCAGUUGCAGGUUGGUUAGCCGUGAUGAGCUCCUGGGCGAGCUUGCAUGAGCCAGAUGAGUUAACUUCACUUUUUUCGUGUGUUUCCUGCGAAUGUCACCAUGAGUGUUUAGGCAUAAUGUUUUCUUUGACAACUCUCAGGAAAAAACUACCACAGAUGUUUUCACGUUUAACCAAAAUAGCUAAAACUACUGUGCAUGUGCCGAAGCCGCACAUAAGAACUGCUGUCACAGGUGGCACAGUAAUUUAAGUAAACGAUACAAGUUCUGGAAUGCAUGUAAUGCAAGGUUAUUUACAAUUUGGUUCCAUCUUAUAUUUGACUUGCAGGUUGUUGGUUUCAGUCAUUUAGUUAUGAAAACCAUAGGAUUCACAGCCACCAGUUGAAAAGAUCACAAAGAUACCAGUACUAGAAUGCAUGUUAUAAAUCUCUCUGCUUUCAUCUCCAUGAUUUUUCAACUAAAGUAACAUAAGAUGCAUGCUUAGAAGUUGCAACUAAAGAUUUUGGUUGACUUUUUCCACAGGAAGACAGUUUAGCUUUCUUGGGCUCGGUAUUGUAGUUCUUGAUUGCAAUUUUCAUUAUCGAUUUGUCUAACUACCAUUUUAGGGUGCUAGCCGGCGCCUAAUCAAGGUGUAUUAAGAACGAAUUGGGAAGAAUGUCAUAAUCAUAGUGACAACUACAUUUGCUUCAAGAGUAAUGAAUUUCUAUUAAUCAA